CGAUUUUUUUACCAAAUUUCAUUACAUACAAAAAUAAGUUACGAACUUAUAACAAAAUGAUAAUAUCUUCCAAUGGAACUACAACUUAGCAUGUUUUGUUAUAAUUUUACAAUAGAACUAUAACUCAUCAAGUCCUAUCACUAAUUUACAAAUUUCUUGCAAAGGGAUGAACUUUUCCUUGUGAUUGAGUUCACCUCAUCCUGUAUCAUCUAUGAUGGUACGUCAUUAGGUUGACUUGUUGAUAAGUAUCACUGCAUUCAAUAUCAAAGCUCUCAUUUUCACAACUUUCAUGGAUGUGUUGUUUUUAUCAAAAUCAACUUGCUAAUCAAUGGACCAACCUGAAAAUGCAUCAAUGUUAAUGCUUCUAUAUCGAACUUAAGAAAAUAAUAAUAGAAGGUAACCAAACAUGUUAUUGCAAUGAGCAUAGUCCUUUUUUUUAUCAUUACUUGUUCAAUGGCUUAAUGAGCAACUAUAUUUGUUCUUGGUCUAACUUUUAAUUAAUCAUAAUCUAACAAGGAUACAAAAUCUUAACACAAAGAAGCAUCAUUGAUCGAAGGAAGUAACAUACCUUUUUGUUCUGUUUCAUGGUUCAUGACUAAAUGAACAUAUUGAAAAGCUUGAAUAAGGAAUGCUAAGUAAAUAAAACUACACCCAAAUAAAUUCAUCACUAUGUAAACUAACAGCAGGACUUAACAUACAAAACUAAACAAAAAACAUGCAAAAACACCCCAAUGAUGCUAAAAAAGCAAUGACAACAAAUCAAAGAAACCCAAGAUAUGUGUAGCCAAAACCAAAUGCCUCUACAACUAAAAGUACAAAUUAGUCCAACUAGCCGCACAAUUAAAAGGGCUCCAAUAACCCCAUGAAGCUUAACCAAAGAAGAUACAUGAUCAAAUGAAACAACAAAGCAAUGAAUCCCAAAAAUAUGUUAUGUGAAAUAUAUUGUUUGGCACACCUGACCAAUACAAAAUUGAACAUAAGACAUCUCCUAUGACCACAAACUCAUUAAUAUAAUCACAAGAUUCAUCACCAAAAACAUCACAACUCCGCACAACCAUACAAUUCAACCUACAAGCUUAUUCACCAUGAAUCAUUCCCGCACUUAGCCAUUUUUUAACAUAACUUUGACCACGAAUCACUAAAGACAUACUAAAUAAUUGGAGGAGAACUUGUGAAUUUUGACUGAGAAAAUAACAAUGAGAGGUGAAUGUUAUUCUAUGUAUAACAUGAUUCACACAAACUAACAAAAGAAUGACAUAACUUAACCAACACAACUUAUCAUCCCAACCCCAUUUGUAGAUCCCAUCAAAUGCAACCAACAACAUAACAUCUUAAUAGACAACAACCCAAAAGGCAACAAUAAGACAAUAAUGUAACAGAAGAUUUUAACAAAAUUAUGAGCUAAACUUCUAAUUACUAUUAGGUUUCAAUUAACCCAUAAUUCUCACAAAAUCAGUAUCAUUCCCUAAUAUGAUUAAUUUCUACACCAUGAAAUUCUAAUUCCUUUGAAGUUGGUCACAAAUAAUUUCAAAUCAACACAAAUUACCAUCUCAUUAGGGUUUAACAAAUCAUUUAAAAAAAACAUUCAAUUUUGGAGAAAAACAUUCAAAAUGGAGACAGAUAAACCAUAAACACAAAUCCUAUUCAUAAAGUAAAAUGAAAAUUUGAGAUUAACCUCACCUAAGAAUAGAGAGAUUGUGGGAAGAAAACAGUUGUUGAUUGUGAACCGACAGUGGCUGUGAGACAACAGUUGUUGUAACGAAAACGGGUCGGUUGGAAGAGAUCGCAUAAGAGGACAAGCGGUGGGAGGAGAUCGCGUGUUGGUAGAGAGAGACUUCUCCGGUGAGGAUAGAGGGAGAUGAAAGAUAUAUUGUUUCCUUUUUCC
rnacentral:lncRNA from 1 species